rnacentral:misc_RNA from 1 species
GAAAACAUCUAGAUAAUCCAUAUCCGCAUGGUACUAUUGGAGGUUAAAGUUCAAAAUUAACGGUUGAUAAGUAAUCAUCUUCUAGACAGUCUCCUUUUCUAAGUUUUAUCUUGGUAUGUAACUGUUCUCUAAACUAAAUUGCCUAAGGUUGAUACAUCCCACUACACCAUAUGAAUAUGAGAGAAGCUUCUAAAAGGGGAUCGAGAGUUGUCAAUGUGCAGGAGGGAUGAUAUAAAAACAACCAUAAGCUCAUAAGGGUUUCUAAAAGAGAGAGAACCUCCCUUGCUCAUAUAGACUGGCCUACAGCUCUAAUUUUAUAGUAGGCAACAAUAUUUUGUUAGAACUCGUAUUAUUUUAUAUCCUUUGCCUUAGAACCACGCUCUGGUU